GUUCAAACAUAACAUUUGACAGAACUUGUAAUACACAAAAAUAUUUGUCUUAAUGUGAGUUAUAAAUUUGGGAAGUUUCAUAGUGAAAUCUGUUUGUUAAAAAUUUUACCCUAAUUACCUUUGGUGUCAGGUAAUUAGGCUUCCAACCCAUCAUGGACACCAUGGUGAAAAUGACACCUUUCUGGCGGUCAAACUUUGGUAAACCUUUAGUAUAUUAUUAAGGACAUCAAAUACUAUAAAAAAAGCA